UACGAAGGGGGCUAGCGUUGCUCGGAAUCACUGGGCGUAAAGGGCGCGUAGGCGGCGUUUUAAGUCAGGGGUGAAAUCCCGGGGCUCAACCCCGGAACUGCCUUUGAUACUGGGUGUCUUGAGUCCGGAAGAGGUGAGUGGAAUUGCGAGUGUAGAGGUGAAAUUCGUAGAUAUUCGCAGGAACACCGGUGGCGAAGGCGGCCAACUGGACCAUUACUGACGCUGAGGCGCGAAAGCGUGGGGAGCAAACAGG
rnacentral:rRNA from 1 species